UAUGGAUUAAUCAUCGAUGGUAAGAGCUUAACAAGGUGUCAAUGUAAAUGUUCAGAGGCACGAGGUCACAUGCGACGUGCCGCACCCUAGAUACUCAUCGUGCUCACGUAUAACUCGCAUUCUUCACGUGACCCCACCCUGCGCUUCAUAGAUAAUCAUUCUUCUUUCCUAAUCUCGCGUCGCGUAGCACGCGAGAUCUAUAGACUCCCGAAAAUCACUCUCUCCCUUUUCGUCUACUAUUUACUCUUGGGACCCCAGAAAUGAGAUUUGUGAAGAGCCACGAAAUGCCACGUUAUCGUUAUCAGUCAUUUUUAUGACACACCUUCGUAAAAAUGAGUCAUCUGUCUAAAGAAGCAGAAAUUGUGAUGAGUUUAGCAGUAUUCCAUUGAAGAUGAUUACCGUAGUCUUUUCUCAAAACUGGUACAAGAGACACAGUUAUAGGAACUAACAUUAAUUGUGGAAAUACAUGUGCAAGAACUUCACUUUGCAAAACUAAUUUGCUAAUUAGCAGAGAAAACAUACGUUUGAACCUUACCUGCAGAGAAGGCUGCAUCGACAAUGGCAUCGAUUGUACUUGAGAUUGAGAUGCAGUAUUCGAUCUUAAAAUUCCAGAAAUUUUCUCCGUGGAUUCCUGUUUCGUACUUUUCUCCAUAUCUAUAUUCACAACUGAAGAAUUAUUUCACUAUAUUAAAAAGCCAAAUUGCCAAAUAAAAAAAGAAACGGCGAUCUUUCGCGGUGUAUUCUUAUUAGAA
rnacentral:lncRNA from 1 species